rnacentral:snoRNA from 1 species
AGGCAGCCUACUUGCUACAAUUAAAUGCAUGAGAGGUGUUUAACUGCUCAUAAAUCGAAUACCUUUGCUCUUCAGACUUGCCGAGAUUUUUCUCUGAAGCUGGUCUAGUAAGCUCAAAUACUUU